GAUGAAGAACGUAGCGAAAUGCGAAAAGUAAUGCGAAUUGCAGAAUUCAGUGAGUCAUCGAAUCUUUGAACGCACAUUGCGCCCUGUGGUAUUCCGCAGGGCAUGCCUGUUCGAGCGUCAUUUCAACCCUCAAGCUCUGCUUGGUGUUGGGCCCUGCCCGCUGCGGCCGGCCCUAAAGACAGUGGCGGUGCCGCCUGGCCCUGAGCGUAGUACAUCUCUCGCUCCAGUGCCCGGUGGUAGCCUGCCAGAACCCCAACUCUCGUGGUUGACCUCGGAUCAGGUAGGGAUACCCGCUGAACUUAAGCAUAUCAAUAAGCGGAGGA
rnacentral:misc_RNA from 1 species